rnacentral:rRNA from 1 species
GACGAACGCUGGCGGCGUGCUUAAUACAUGCAAGUCGAGCGAGGCCCAUCCAGUGGCAACACUGGGGAAGGCCGAGCGGCGAACGGGUGAGUAACACGUGAGCAACCUGCCCCGAAGUCUGGAAUAACAUCGGGAAACCGGUGCUAAUACCGGAUUGCCCCACCUGACCGCAUGAUCGGGUGAGGAAAGAUUUAUCGCUUCGGGAGGGGCUCGCGGCCUAUCAGCUAGUUGGCGGGGUAACGGCCCACCAAGGCGUCGACGGGUAGCUGGUCUGAGAGGACGACCAGCCACACUGGGACUGAGACACGGCCCAGACUCCUACGGGAGGCAGCAGUAGGGAAUCUUGCGCAAUGGGCGAAAGCCUGACGCAGCAACGCCGCGUGGGGGAUGACGGCC